rnacentral:rRNA from 1 species
CCCAGACUCCUACGGGAGGCAGCAGUGGGGAAUAUUGCACAAUGGGGGGAACCCUGAUGCAGCGACGCCGCGUGGGUGAAGGAGCACCUCGGUGCGUAAAGCCCUAUCGGCAGGGAAGAAACAGACGGUACCUGACUAAGAAGCCCCGGCUAACUACGUGCCAGCAGCCGCGGGAAUACGUAGGGGGCAAGCGUUAUCCGGAUUCACUGGGUGUAAAGGGAGCGUAGACGGCGACGCAAGUCUGGAGUGAAAGCCCGGGGCCCAACCCCGGGACUGCUCUGGAAACUGCGUCGCUGGAGUACGGGAGGGGCAGGCGGAAUUCCUGGUGUAGCGGUGAAAUGCGUAGAUAUCAGGAGGAACACCGGUGGCGAAGGCGGCCUGCUGGACGGAUACUGACGCUGAGGCCCGAAAGCGUGGGGAGCGAACAGGAUUAGAUACCCUUGUA